rnacentral:rRNA from 1 species
GACGAACGCUGGCGGCGUGCCUAAUACAUGCCAGUCGAACGCUGAAGGAGGAGCUUGCUUCUCUGGAUGAGUUGCGAACGGGUGAGUAACGCGUAGGUAACCUGCCUGGUAGCGGGGGAUAACUAUUGGAAACGAUAGCUAAUACCGCAUAAGAGUAGAUGUUGCAUGACAUUUGCUUAAAAGGUGCAAUUGCAUCACUACCAGAUGGACCUGCGUUGUAUUAGCUAGUUGGUGAGGUAACGGCACACCAAGGCAACGAUACAUAGCCGACCUGAGAGGGUGAUCGGCCACACUGGGACUGAGACACGGCCCAGACUCCUACGGGAGGCAGCAGUAGGGAAUCUUCGGCAAUGGACGGAAGUCUGACCGAGCAACGCCGCGUGAGUGAAGAAGGUUUUCGGAUCGUAAAGCUCUGUUGUAAGAGAAGAACGAGUGUGAGAGUGGAAAGUUCACACUGUGACGGUAUCUUACCAGAAAGGGACGGCUAACUACGUG